ensembl:lncRNA
AAGACAUUUGUUUAUAGUUACUGCAUAUGAAAUAUUGUCUGGCAAAACAUGGCAACCUUUUAGAAACUUUGGAGCUGAGUUGACGUAAUGAAAAGCCAAAAAGAAACAUUUUCUAAUUUGAAAUUGGUUGGUCUGAACGCAACUAAACACAAACAUUUUGACAUUUGACAUUUUGUCGAAUAGAAGAGCUCAUGGUUUUUAAUGAUAAUUACAAUGACAUAAAAAAGUCCCACAAAUGAUAUGAUUUCACACACUAUUUAUUAGAGGGUCUAGGGAAUAUUAGUCAUCCUACUUUACAUACACUUUCACCAACCCAAUUAUAUAGGAGGGACAGCAAAAUUCCCCAUUCAUGCUUGGAAGCUAGCAGUAUGUUUAUAUUAAACCUUACACUUAAUGUGCAGAUAACUCUUUGUUUUCCUUUUAAAUCCGUGACUACCAAAAAAACAAUUAUAAUUAGAUCAGUAGCUGAGAUAGAUUUUACUAAGAAGGAUAAAAUAAUGUGUUCUGCAGUUCGCAAAUGGUCUAAAUGAAUCAGUUGAUGCUAUCCACUGCAUCAGCUGAAGCAAUACGAUUACCAACACUGCUAAAUAUGCUUAUUACCAUAUAUAACGUUUAGCCCUUUGGUAAAAACCAAGUACAUAACCAGUCCCACCACCUUCAGCCCCCCCACCCUGGGCAUUUCCACUGGUUAUGCUACUUUUCAGGUUGAAGCGCUUCAGUAAUUUGUUUCCUAUCUCAGUGACAGCAGCAUCAUUUUCAUCACACUGCAGUAAUCCACGUGUCUCAUGGUAGAAAACGUUGACAUGCAACACAACAUUGGCGUGAACAUCCCAUGUUUUCAUAGUUGACGUUGCCUUGACUUGGUGUGUGUGGUGCAUCAACACCAGAAUGACAGGUUUAUCAUCU